GGGAGGAAGGGGAACCAGCUGGCCAGAAAAUUGCAAAGGUCGCUGAUGCAAUCUUGCAACAGCUUGCUCAGCCUUCCCUGUUAGAGCCCAGAGCCAGAGGGGAAAGGGUGCCAUUCUUAGGGGUCUGAGGUCAUUGGCCAGAGUCAGAAGCCAGCGUCAAUCCCUUGGUCUGCUACAGCCCUUCAGUUCUAGUCGAAGGUGAAAGUUUGGAAUUUAAAGUUCAUGCUUUAGUUGAUAGGUAAGUGAGCAAGGUAACCACAGGCCAAAUGUAGAUUAUUCUUGGAGGAGCCUGGCUUGGCUUUUUGUUCUUUUAACCUUGUCAAGCCAGAAAGUUCUGUAAGGAAGGUCUGAGCCAAGUUUAACUUCAGUCUUGGCAUUGUUCUUAAGCCUUCCUGAUAAAUUUGGAGCACUCCUAGUAGCUGGCAGCAGUGACCAUGGAACUUCCCCAAGGACCACGAGGGUUCCAGACACAGUGGCUCCUGGGAAAGAAUAUGAUGUAUACCUAGACAAGAGAGCACCCAAUUGGUUUCCCCCUCGGAAGGUGGUGCUAUCCCUGGGCAUGUGGUCCUGGGCUAUAGGAGAAGGCCGGCUGAGCAAGCUGUGAAGAGCAAGCCAGUAAGCAGCACUGUUACUGGAUUUUCUUUUCCAGUCAGGUUCCACCACCCUUCUCAGCCCCAAAGAAACACGCAGACGCUAUAUUAAUUAUAAAGCUAUUGGCUGAUGACUAGGGAUUCU
rnacentral:lncRNA from 1 species